GAUGAACGCUAGCGGCAGGCUUAACACAUGCAAGUCGAGGGGUAGAGUUCUUCGGAAUUUGAGACCGGCGCACGGGUGCGUAACGCGUAUGCAAUCUGCCUUCCACAGAGGGAUAGCCCAGAGAAAUUUGGAUUAAUACCUCAUAGCAUUACAGGAUGGCAUCAUCCGGUAAUUAAAGUCACAACGGUGGAAGAUGAGCAUGCGUCCCAUUAGCUAGUUGGUAAGGUAACGGCUUACCAAGGCGACGAUGGGUAGGGGUCCUGAGAGGGAGAUCCCCCACACUGGUACUGAGACACGGACCAGACUCAUACGGGAGGCAGCAGUGAGGAAUAUUGGUCAAUGGGCGCAAGCCUGAACCAGCCAUGCCGCGUGCAGGAUGACGGUCCUAUGGAUUGUAAACUGCUUUUGUACGGGAAGAAACACUGAUUCGUGAAUCAGCCUGACGGUACCGUAAGAAUAAGGAUCGGCUAACUCCGUGCCAGCAGCCGCGGUAAUACGGAGGAUCCAAGCGUUAUCCGGAAUCAUUGGGUUUAAAGGGUCUGUAGGCGGUCUUGUAAGUCAGUGGUGAAAGCCCAUCGCUCAACGGUGGAACGGCCAUUGAUACUGCAGGACUUGAAUUACCGGGAAGUAACUAGAAUAUGUAGUGUAGCGGUGAAAUGCUUAGAUAUUACAUGGAAUACCAAUUGCGAAGGCAGGUUACUACCGGUGGAUUGACGCUGAUGGACGAAAGCGUGGGGAGCGAA
rnacentral:rRNA from 1 species